ensembl:snRNA U6 U6 spliceosomal RNA
GUGCUUGCUUCGGCAGCAUGCAUACUAAAAUUGGAACAGAGAGGAUUAGCAUGGCCCCUGUACAAGGAUAACAGGCCACUCGUGAAGCACUUCAUGUUACU